GCCAAUGUAGCUCAGCCUGGUAGAGCAACUGAUUUGUAAUCAGUAGGUCAUGGGUUCAGAUCCCGUCAUUGGCU
rfam:Nitrosopumilus sp. BACL13 MAG-120910-bin56 contig07422_1_120910-bin56, whole genome shotgun sequence.